GAACUGCGAUAAGUAAUGUGAAUUGCAGAAUUCAGUGAAUCAUCGAGUCUUUGAACGCACAUUGCGCCCCCUGGCAUUCCGGGGGGCAUGCCUGUCCGAGCGUCAUUGCUGCCCUUCAAGCCCGGCUUGUGUGUUGGGUCGUCGUCCCCCUCGGGGGACGGUCCCGAAAGGCAGCGGCGGCACCGUGUCCGGUCCUCGAGCGUAUGGGGCUUUGUCACCCGCUCGAUUAGGGCCGGCCGGGCGCCAGCCGGCGUCUCCAACCUUAUUUUUCUCAGGUUGACCUCGGAUCAGGUAGGGAUACCCGCUGAACUUAAGC
rnacentral:misc_RNA from 1 species